UACGUAGGGGGCAAGCGUUGUCCGGAUUUAUUGGGCGUAAAGAGCGUGUAGGCGGUUUGGUAGGUCCGUUGUGGAAACUCGAGGCUCAACCUCGAGACGCCGAUGGAAACCAUCAGACUAGAGUCCGGAAGAGGAGAGUGGAAUUCCUGGUGUAGCGGUGAAAUGCGCAGAUAUCGGGAAGAACACCCGUGGCUAAGGCGGCUCUCUAGUACGGUACUGACGCUGAGACGCGAAAGCGUGGGGAGCGAACAGG
rnacentral:rRNA from 1 species